UUCCGUCACUAAUGUAGAUUUUAGAUUUUGAACUUGAUGAAUGUUAUUAUAACUUUAGUCACAAAAAAGAAAAUCGCACGGAAACCCUUCUCAGAUCAAAUUUUCACAAACACGUCCUUUGUUCGUCGAUUUCAUCUCUCCGAAACCCUUUCUUCAUCGAUAAAUUUUCAGAUGAAUUCUUCAUCGCGUUCUCACCGUUUCCAUCUCUCAGAUCAAAUUCUUCAUCGAUUUCAGUAAACAUUACCGAUUUCACAAAGCUUCUUCGUCGAUUUCAGUAGCCAUUACCGAUUUCACAAAGCUUCUUCGUCGAUUUCAUCUCUCAGAUCGCGGUGAAGAUCGAAAUUGCUCUCAAAUCGAAAUCACACAUAACUUCAGUAACCUUUCUCAGAUCAAAUUUUCACAAAGCUUCUUCGUCAAUUUCACAAAGCUUCUUCAUCGAUUUCACCUCUCAGAUCACAGUGAAGAUGGAAUUUGCUCUUAGAUCGCUCGCUUUCCAUUCCAAUUGAUCUCAAAUGAAAUUGAAUUGACUUUGCUGAAGGUUGGAUCAGAAAAUAAGCAGAGAUUCCAAAUGUUUUGACAUACGUCUUGUGCAUAUAUUAAUAACUAGUAUUGAUCUCAUGGACUUGGACUAGAUGCAAAAAAGAAAAAUCCAAAAAGUGAUGGUUCAAUGUGCUAAGCCCAUCAGGCUAUGUGGGCUGAGAGUACAACAACCUAAAAUGUAUACUAGCAUUUUGAUUAGUUUGGUUACUCUAGAAGCAAUUAGAAGAUAAAUAAUAAUUCUAUCACUAGCCAUUGAGAUGGUGAUAUUUAGAUACUCUUUAAUUACUACGAUUAUGGGGUUAUUUAUUGUUAUUUGUAUUGUGUUUCUGUUGAUGAACAAGUUGGACUUCAGACAUGAUGAAAGAAAAAAAAGGGAAAAAAAGACAUAAGAAUUGGAGAACAAAAGAAAAAUAGGUUUAGUACUAGUGAUGGUGACCAUAGAUUUGGAUAAUUGGAAUAAGAAGAAAGGUGAGUACAAUGUUACUGAAAGAAGCAAGAAUGUUGAUAGAAUAAGGCCAAGGCUUGUUUUGCAACCACGUUCGGUGAAAAUCAAAAUGUUCCUACUGCUGCUGUUUUUUGGAAUGUAGCCAAGCCUACGGGUGCAAAUCUACUUGGUGAGGCAAGGCCAAUGGAGCAGGUUUUGGCAGAGAAAGGUCUGAAUCAGAAGGUUUUACCAUCUGAUGAUGGACGUUCAGAAAGUACCAUAAACUACCAAUGUCAGAUUGAAAUUUUCAAGAGAUAUUUGGGAACCAGACUCUUCAACUCCUCCCCAUUGGACCUAAUCUCUGCACAUAUCAGCCAGCCGUUGUUAAUCGCCAAGGGGUAGAGUUAGAACUGUCCAAUUAUACUAAAACAAGAGAGCUUUAUUUGAGAUAAGUCAAGCCUAGGAUAGACUUACAGAGUUGCUCUAGAAUGUUUAUGCAAGUUAUCCACAGUACAUGGAAGUUGUGAGGAUGAUCCAUUCUACUGUUGAUGGAGGUGAAGGUGAUGUGGGACAGCGUAUCUGUCACCCUUUUUCUCAGGUUACACAAUUGAAGACGAAUGAGAAAUUGAUUUGUGCAUUAGAUGGAGAGUCGCUUUUAGCUAUGGAGGAGUUGCGCGUGUUCGGCUUGAGAGGACCACAUUUGCUUAGGGAGUUAUUAUUUGGCCUUUGAGGUUCCUGGGACUAGUAAAUUCUUCUUUUUUUUUUUGACAAAAAGGACUAGUAAAUUCUUAGUUAAGUAAAUAGUAUAUUUUUAUGUAUUUUAUUGAAUAAUAUGUGAUACUUAUGAAUGCAAUUAAAUUUAUAUUAAGUUUUUUUUAAAAAAA